AUUUCCUCCUCGGUCCCACCCUGGUCCAUGAGUGUCGUGAGCCAGUGCCUGGCUGCCUCGGCAGAGAGCUGGGGUCGCCAGAGUGACCGCCCUCGUCCGUAGCACGGUACCAGCACGUCUCUGACGGCCAAAGUGCAGGUGCCAGGUGCCGGCCGCGAUGCUGGGAAGAUGCUGUGGCUGUCUCUCCACGAACCAAGCGACCCACAGGUCCACACCAGCACUUCUGUGGUGUCAGCACCAGUGUCGCCUGAGCCUCCCUCUCAGGCUCUUCCUGAUUUUUAUUUCCCUUUGGAUGGCAGAGUCCCUGAGUCCCCCACAGGCCAGUGACGUUCCCCGUCACCUGUGACUUCUGGCAGACGCAGAGGAAACGAGCGGCACUGUUAGGGCCUUUGUGAGCUGCAUGCAUCCCCGCCCCACCCACCUCCUGCUGUGGCCGCCCUGAUGGGCGCUGAGAUAGGGGAUGUGCCACCAGCACUGUCGCCACGUCCCAUCUCCCUCCCAGGUUCUGGUGGGGCGUGCGCUGACGUCACGGAACUGCCCGGGCUUCCCUCUGCCAUGGGCUGGAGCGCCCAGAGCCCAGAUAAGCCCCACGUGUUUCUGCAAAGGCCCCGGCCUGUCUCAGGGCGGCUUCCUGGAGCAAUUAGUAGUGUGCAUUUCAUCACCCCACUCCCUUCCCCAAAUUCCCUUUCAACAACCCCCGACUAUUUUUAAGAAUAACAAUAAUAAAACACAGAUGGAGAACCAGGAAUUGUGUCAUGGGAACUGAUAACAGGACACACUGGCACUGAGCUCCAGGAGGAACCCUGGCUGCAAACACACACCCGAGGCUGGCUCGCCCAAGGCUCUGCGGGGCCAGAGACCCAGGCAAGCAAAGGUGCCCCACAUGCCCGGCCCCGCCAGCAGCACCUCCUGACAUGGCGCCCACAGAAGGUCCCGACUCUGUCCCGUGUGGGAGCUCAGCCUCUGUAAAGACACAGGCACGCGUGGGCUCCCCGCAGGCCCUGCUCAGAGCCACGCUGAUCCUGGGCCCUGCCCAAGACGGGACCUGGCACUCAGCCACAGGACGCAGAGCCAGGCUCUCUGCAGAGGGCUCCGCCCCCAGUGUGGAAGGCACCAGAAGGAGCCCGGGCUCCCGCCCCUCCGUGUGACUCUUCACAAACACUAAGGAGGAUAACGACAGGGCCCAGGUGCUCGCAGGCUGCUCCCGGACUGGCACGCAGGACCUGACUUGUCCCAGAGUGCGCACGGCAGCUCCUCACCAGAGGCACUUUCCGUGACACUCGGGCGGCGCUGCGGGGCCUCGGCACAACGCAGAGAGAAAGACGGCUCUGUUCUGUGUGGGGGUCGCACGUCCCCACCCAAAUGCCCUAGGCUGCUGGUUGCUCAGCGGCCUCCCGCCCACUGUGCUGCUGAGUGCAGCGGCCCCCAGGAGCUCCGUGCCCUGCUGUGCUUGGCAUCUGUGGCACGAGACAGGGAUGCCCCAGAAUUCGAGACCAGUUAACUCCUUUCCCACUGCGCUGGUUCAGCCUUGCUACAAAAGACGUCUGCAAAGAGGCAGGAGGAGCCACCUGCCCAGGAGGAAGACACGGUGGGGGUUCAGGUAGCUCAGAACAGGCCCCACCUGUGGGGGAAGGGAGGCUGCCCAAUGCAUGAAGAGACUGGGCUCAGGUCCUCAUCCAACCCUGGCCAGCGGAGCUCCAAAAGAAAGGACUCCAGUCAGAAUAGUGAUUGUGGGGACGAAAGAGGCCUAAAUGAUCAACACAGGGGAAAGGUGGGGACACUACAAAGAAAUAAUGAAGCCAUGAGUGGACCCUGAAGGGUAACAGCGACAGGGACAGGAGGGAGGCCUGAGAGGUAACGACGGUGGGACGUGGGGAGGACUGAGGGGUAACGACGGUGGGACGUGGGGAGGCCUGAGGGGUAACAACGGUGGGACGUGGGGAGGACUGAGGGGUAACGACGGUGGGACGUGGGGAGGACUGAGAGGUAACGACGGUGGGACGUGGGGAGGACUGAGGGGUAACGACGGUGGGACGUGGGGAGGCCUGAGGGGUAACGACGGUGGGACGUGGGGAGGACUGAGGGGUAACGACGGUGGGACGUGGGGAGGACUGAGAGGUAACGACGGUGGGACGUGGGGAGGACUGAGGGGUAACGACGGUGGGACGUGGGGAGGACUGAGGGGUAACGACGGUGGGACGUGGGGAGGACUGAGGGGUAACGACGGUGGGACGUGGGGAGGACUGAGGGGUAACGACGGUGGGACGUGGGGAGGACUGAGGGGUAACGACGGUGGGACGUGGGGAGGCCUGAGGGGUAACGACGGUGGGACGUGGGGAGGACUGAGGGGUAACGACGGUGGGACGUGGGGAGGCCUGAGGGGUAGUAAUGAUGGGAUGUGGGGAGGCGUGAGGGGACAGGAUGGGUGAUGGUGACAGUGACAGGGUGGGGACGGCGUCUGAGGUCUCCAUCGUGUUCGUGGGACAGGCCGCCUGCAUGGCCGCCGAGAGCCGUCUUGUUCCCCGCGGGCACAGGAGGGCGCGUCGCUGAGGGUGAAAGGGAAGCGGCAUGGCCAUGGGGCUUCCCCUUGCUGCCCACGAGCACCUGAGCCUCGGUGGGAGAGCCCGUCGGGGGGCGGAAAGUUCCUCGGUGUGUCCCCCGGCCACCCAGGUUCCCGUCGGGGGCCACCACAGCCUCCUUUGCUCUCUCUGCCUGGGUCUGCGGCUGCUGAGCUCUCGGGAGGGGAGGAGGGCCGACCUCAAGAGAGCUGUCGAGGCCUAAGGAGCCAGCGGCAGCCUGCACCUCACUCCUGCGGGCUGGCGGUGCGUGUGGGCCGACCCCGUCCCAGCGCCGGGUCAAGUGUGUUCCACAAGGUCUCAGACGCUGCAGGGACGCGUGGCCGGGACCAGACACAGCCCAGGCACCCUCCAGGGCCUUCCCGCUGCCCCAUGGCAGCAGCUGACAGAGAGCGGGAUGGACAACCCUGACACCACUCAGCAGAGGACAGCACAGCAACCGAACCGCAGAGGAGGCUGUACCGCCCACCCAUCCACACCGCGGACGAGAGCCGUACGUGGAGCCGUGCUCGCCCCGCAGACACGGCCUGUGCCGUAGCCCUGAGAGGAAAGCCACGGCUUCCCCUUUCACAGGUAGCAUGUGACCCUCACGGCGUGUGGGAGACCUGAAAGAGGAAACUUACUUUGCCUAACGUCAGAUGUCCCCGCAACAGGAUGUGUACUUACUAGGAAAGUCAUGGAAAGCUGGAUGGGCCUACUGGCUGGUGCCUGGGGGACGACUCAGACCCUGGGACAGGAGGGUUCCCACCCUGCCCAGCCAGCUCCUGGCCCCAGGAGUCCGUCCUCUCUCCUCCAAAUCUGGCCCCCGUCCCUUCCCUCUCUGGUCCUCCCUGUUUCACCUGCAGGGUGCUCAGUGCCCGGAACUUGGCGUAUCUGAGGUGGCCAGAGGCGCCAGCGGAGCAGGAUGUCGGAGCUGCCACUCGCCUUCCACUGUGCUGUGAGAGCCACCGGGACACGUCAGCAUCUCCCCUGUUCUGAAAUCAACACCGAGACACACCGAGUCCCUCCGGAGGCAUCUGCAGAGGCAGCAACGCCACGCGAGGGCUGCCGACUCUCCAGCUCCAACAUUUCGUCCGGACCUCCCGGCAGCGCAGCGGGGGAUCCCCUCCCGUGAGGGGCCCGGAGGGGCUUCGAGAAGGCUGUCGCCUGAUGGGCUCCGUCAAGUUUCCCCCUGCAGACCCUCAUUCUACCAGUUUUGAUUCCAUUUUAAAUCUGACUUCCAAGUGGCACCCCUGCCGACGGUCAAAACGCCCCCUCUCCUGGUGUGUGCCCUCCAUCCCCGCUUCCUGGGGGCAGCCGGUUUCUUGCUGUCUGGACAACAGAGCUCUGCCAAUGCCACUUAUCUCGCCCGUCCAGGACUUUAUCACCAACUGUCCUACUUCCGACUCCAGCAAAGGAGCGACAGCGAGCACGUCUGUGCUUGGCUGUGACUAACAGGGCCUCUGAAUAAAGUGAAAAUAAUCCCACUUUAAGCUGCAAGAGGAAAGACCCACAGAAGGAAAGUCCUUCACGGACGGAGACCCAGGAUCCUGAAAUGCAGUGCGUCCCUUCAACGUUCUGAGAAUAAAAAUUUAAACAUGCAAGCCCCGGGAGGAAAAGCAAUUCCUAAAACAUGGCAGAAACAACAUAAAAAAAAUCUUGCUGUUGUUUUAAAAACUGACCUAAGACCAGGCAUGGUGGCUCACACCUGUAAUCCCAGCACUUUGGGAAGCCAAGGCGGGAGGAUCACUUGAGGCCAAAAGUUCAAGACCAGCCUGGGCAAUGUAGUGAGACCACCCCCCAUCUCUACAAACAAAUGUAAAAAUUAGCCAGACAUGGUGGUGUGCACCUGUGGUCCCAGCUACUUGGGAGGCUGAGGUGGGAGGAUGGCUUGAGCCCAGGAGGUUGAGGCUGCAGUGAGCUGAGAUUGUACCACUGCAUUCCAGCCUGGGUGACAGAGCAAGACCCUGUCUCAGGAAAAAAAAUAAAAAAAUAAAAAAUAAAUAGCCUGAUCUCCUGUUUUCCAGGAAAGCCCGAGCCUUGUAAGGGUUUUUCAGAUGGUAGUGAAACAACUUGGAAGUCAGCAAUUCCUAAGGAUUUUCCAAAUCUUCUCAGACUAAAAUUCUCCCACUUUCCUGCUGCCUUGUUCAAACCAUGGUUCGGAGAUCUGUGAGCAGCCUGCCAGCCGCCGGAGGCUCUGAAGCCUUUCUGAGGCGAGGUCUUUGCACCUGAACGCUCUGGUAGAACAAGGUUUAGCAAAAGGGAGCCUGGAAGGGCCCAUCCUCACCUUCUGCCCAGUCCUGCAGGGCUCAGGACACAUCCUGGGGGCUAAUCUGUGGGAAGAGGUUUGACUGAGACCCCGUUCUGCUCUGUGAAUGGGCGGACUCUUCAGCAUCUCACACGGAGAAACAACUUCCUCCUGGAUCGGAGCCCAAGUCAGGGAUAAGGUGCCUCCUGCCUGCACCGUGGGCACUGGCCGCCUUGUUACAGAAUCAACGGCCGUCCACUGAGGGACACCGGGUGCCAGGGGUCCUAACACCCCUCCAGAGCACCCGGCACAGCUCUCCUUGGAGCUGGGUGCUACCCUUAGUCUCGUUUUGAAGACAGGACUGGGCGGUCAGGUCAGCCCAUCCUCACACUGCGGUGAGUAGCGGGGGCAGGAGCAGCCUUGCUGUGGGCCACGCCCUGGGCAAUGAGCGGUGGCUCCUUGGGGGAUCUCAGAUUUUUCCAAGUCUGUUUUCUAUAUGGCUGAACGAUGUGACAAAACACUUGUCAAGGACACCCUCUCAGGUGCUCUGAUCUGCAUCUUUCACGAGCGAGAGGGGGGGUGCCAGGCACUUCCUGGUGGACCUUCAGUUACCGCCCAUCAGAACACAAGCAGGCAGCGCGAAACAUGCUGGGCCCGGGGGCUCCAUCGCCCUUUACACUGCCACACUCAGCUUCCACAUGUUCUACUGUGGGCGUGUGCCCCUCCUUCAUGUUUCUGGGGUUCAUGGGGACAUUAGUGUUGUCCUUCCCUUUCUGUCUCAAAGAAUUGACUGUGCCUGUCAUUGGACGCAGCGGCUGCCAUGAAUGUCGACCGGGAAAGCGAUGGGAAAAGCUGUUCAGACACAGCUGAGCUGCCUCUACCUGGUCACCUGCACGCCAGGCCCAUGCAGUCUGCUCCAUCCCUGUCCCUGGCAGAGCCCAUCUGGGAGUGGUGGUGACUGUGCCAGCUGGAGACCCACUGAGCACCAGGGUGCAGCACAGACAACGACGCCCUCAGGCUGCGUGCAGUGAAGAGCCGGGAGAGGCAGCGCUAGAAUUGUUUUUAGGAACUGGAUUUGGGCUUAAAGAAUAAACAAUGUGGUUCAGCCACGCUAACCCAAAUACACUGUUUAAUCCUUGCAGUUAAAAAGUUUAAGUAGCACAGAUGAAGACUAUAACUUGCAUAAACGAUUUUUGUGUCAAUUUUUAAAAAGCAUAUUUGUUCAUAUAGGUACCACUAACUUAAUUGCACAAAACACAUUUAAAAGCAUCUUCCCUCUUUUUCAAUGGUUAUGUUAGUUCCAAUCAACAACCAAUUGUGCUAUGAUUAUUCAAGUCUAAGAGUAUUUAUCUAUGACCGCUAAACAAACCAGACAGUUUGGCAAGGACACAGGCCUCAGAAUUAUCAGACAUCAGAACGUCCUGCAGGACUGCUCCUUCUUUAGAGUUGUCAUUUUCCUUUACACUAAAGCAAUACAGGAAACAAAAAAGGCCGUCGUGAUGCCACCCACGGCCUACGGGGGCAUGUUCCUAUUGCCUCUUCCUGUCGCAGCGUCCCCAUCCGCCUCACUUUCCGUCCAGCAGGCUCCCUUCUAAGGCCCACCGUCCCACUGGACACAGCGUAAUUAAACCUGCAGCAGGAACGCAAUUGUCCCCAGCUUACUCCACCAUCCUCUGAGGGACAGAAAAGUGCAUAUUCUUCAGAGGACAAGUCAUCAAAAAUAACUUUUUAAAAAGAGCAAAACAAAACAGGAAAGACAUUCUCCUCCAUUCCUAUAACUAAGAGAUAAUUAUAAAAAGUAUUUGCUAACCUUCCCAGAAAAUACACCUUUAGCUAAAGUUAGUCUUGUAACCUAAGAGGGUAAUAAUUUGGGUAGGACACAGAUAGAACCAGAAAUAUCUCAGGCCAAAUCCUAUUCUUAAAUAACUAACUUCUAAGAUGUCUCCCAAUGACAUUUGCUGUACUCAGCUUUGACAAUAUCUAAUAAUUCUUGGAGUAAGAACGCCAUUUGAUGGUGGUUGAAAACCUUAAUGAACAUAUGGAUUUUCAUGGCUGUGGCGUUCAUUACAAAGGGGCAUGAUAGAUGUGUUUACUGACUGUUUUAUGGUUUCAUUGAAUUGCUGAAUACACAGCUUUCAAUUUUUCCAUCUGACAUACACAUUUAGACUUGUAUGGCUCUCAUUUAAGGUAUUACAGUAGAUAUGAGCUAAGUACAUAAAAAUAUGGUUAAAGCCACAAAUUAGAGAUCAGAAAAUAGGAAGCGAAGAGGAAAACGCUUUUGUUCCACUGUACGUAUAUCGUGUCUGAUGCAGAGGUGGCUUCGGUGUGUGCGCCAAGGUAACUGAAGAGGCCGCCUCUCAUGUGGGUUUUUUAAUUUUUUGAGAAGAAGCAACCUCUUAGAAAGUCUACCAUAAAUGUUUCCUCCUUCACAAGCAAAUAUCUGGAUUUUCCAUAACCUCCUACAUGAAGCCUCCACCACGGCCUCCUCGGUCCACCCUAAACUGUCCGACACUGCUGGGCGCCCGGCGCUCGGCUGAGAAACGGGGUAAGAACAAGGGCGGUUCUGCCACUCCACAGUCGAGGAGCCACCACAUUCUGAAAACGCAGGGUCGCAGCGUCUCUAGAACCCUUCUUUACGAUUCUGCAUUUUUCAAAGAUGCUUUGUAAAGCAGUGGAAAAUAACAGCUUCUCAAGUUUCAUUAAAAAGUAAGUUCUCAAGUCCAGGACCUAUUUCAGCCUUCACUUAUUUUUAUCUUUUUCAUCGCAAUAAGCCACCGCCACAGGGCCUGCUAUUUUUGGAAGGAGAGGACGGGACAACGGAGGGACGGCCUGACAAGUCACAGUUUUCAUAAAACAAGCCCCUCAUCUGGACGCAGCUGGUGGUGGGGAGCGGGACCGCCACUCGGGACGUCAGCCAUUAAGACAGAAUAAUUUUCCUACCUUAACUGCCUGCUUCCUUAUUUAGCCUGAAUGUUGCACAGAAUGCAAACGCCGUGUGGAAACUGCCAGGGUUCAGGGUACAGGACCACGUGCCUGGGAGAUUCCGACAGGCUGUCCUUCCGCCCCCCACCGAGACGGCAUGCGGGCGCGUGUUUCCACGGAUCUAGUCCGUCUUAUCUGCACCAAACUGCCAUUCCAGUCACUCACUGGGAUCAUUAAACCACCACUUGCAGUUUUCCAGGGCUUUCUUUGUUCUACUAGGAAGUAUAUGCCCCCAAAUUAUGAAAUUCCAUUUCAAACAGAAUUAACAGAAUUUAAAAAAUAAAAAUGUUA
rnacentral:lncRNA from 1 species